rnacentral:rRNA from 2 species
CCGCGUGAGUGAAGAAGGUUUUCGGAUCGUAAAACUCUGUUGUAAGGGAAGAACACGUACGAGAGUAACUGCUCGUACCUUGACGGUACCUUAUUAGAAAGCCACGGCUAACUACGUGCCAGCAGCCGCGGUAAUACGUAGGUGGCAAGCGUUGUCCGGAAUUAUUGGGCGUAAAGCGCGCGCAGGCGGUUCUUUAAGUCUGAUGUGAAAGCCCACGGCUCAACCGUGGAGGGUCAUUGGAAACUGGAGAACUUGAGUACAGAAGAGGAAAGCGGAAUUCCACGUGUAGCGGUGAAAUGCGUAGAGAUGUGGAGGAACACCAGUGGCGAAGGCGGCUUUCUGGUCUGUAACUGACGCUGAGGCGCGAAAGCGUGGGGAGCAAACAGGAUUAGAUACCCUGGUAGUCCACGCCGUAAACGAUGAGUGCUAAGUGUUAGGGGGUUUCCGCCCCUUAGUGCUGCAGCUAACGCAUUAAGCACUCCGCCUGGGGAGUACGACCGCAAGGUUGAAACUCAAAGGAAUUGACGGGGGCCCGCACAAGCGGUGGAGCAUGUGGU